rnacentral:rRNA from 1 species
UACGGAGGGUGCAAACGUUGCUCGGAAUUAUUGGGCGUAAAGCGCACGUAGGCGGACCAUCAAGUCGGUUGUGAAAUCCCACGGCUUAACCGAGGACGUGCAUUCGAAACUGAUGGCCUUGAGUACGAAAGAGGAUCGCGGAAUUCCCGGUGUAGAGGUGAAAUUCGUAGAUAUCGGGAGGAACACCAGUGGCGAAGGCGGCGAUCUGGGUCGAUACCGACGCUGAGGAGCGAAAGCCAGGGGAGCAAACGGG